rnacentral:tRNA from 16 species
UCAGAAAAGUAAGAGUCUACACUUACUCCAAUAGCCCCCAAAACCACCGUUCUAAAAUAAACUAUUUUCUG